rnacentral:rRNA from 1 species
UAGGGAAUCUUCCGCAAUGGACGCAAGUCUGACGGAGCAACGCCGCGUGAGUGAAGAAGGAUUUCGGUUCGUAAAACUCUGUUGUUAGAGAAGAACAGCGCAUAGAGUAACUGUUAUGCGUGUGACGGUAUCUAACCAGAAAGCCACGGCUAACUACGUGCCAGCAGCCGCGGUAAUACGUAGGUGGCAAGCGUUGUCCGGAUUUAUUGGGCGUAAAGCGAGCGCAGGCGGUCAAUUAAGUCUGAUGUGAAAGCCCCCGGCUCAACCGGGGAGGGUCAUUGGAAACUGGUUGACUUAAGUGCAGAAGAGGAGAGUGGAAUUCCAUGUGUAGCGGUGAAAUGCGUAGAUAUAUGGAGGAGCACCAGUGGCGAAGGCGACUCUCUGGUCUGUAACUGACGCUGAGGUUCGAAAGCGUGGGUAGCAAACAGG